GACGAACGCUGGCGGCGUGCUUAACACAUGCAAGUCGAACGGAAAGGCCCUGCUUUUGUGGGGUGCUCGAGUGGCGAACGGGUGAGUAACACGUGAGUAACCUGCCCUUGACUUUGGGAUAACUUCAGGAAACUGGGGCUAAUACCGGAUAGGAGCUCCUGCUGCAUGGUGGGGGUUGGAAAGUUUCGGCGGUUGGGGAUGGACUCGCGGCUUAUCAGCUUGUUGGUGGGGUAGUGGCUUACCAAGGCUUUGACGGAUAGCCGGCCUGAGAGGGUGACCGGCCACAUUGGGACUGAGAUACGCCCCAGACUCCUACGGGAGGCAGCAGUGGGGAAUAUUGCACAAUGGGCGGAAGCCUGAUGCAGCAACGCCGCGUGCGGGAUGACGGCCUUCGGGUUGUAAACCGCUUUCGCCUGUGACGAAGCGUGAGUGACGGUAAUGGGUAAAGAAGCACCGGCUAACUACGUG
rnacentral:rRNA from 1 species